UGGCUCAGAGGUUAAAGCAUCUGCCUCCAAUGCAGGAGACCCAGGUUCGAUCCCUGG
rfam:Ovis aries breed Texel chromosome 14, whole genome shotgun sequence.